rnacentral:rRNA from 1 species
UACGUAGGGAGCAAGCGUUGUCCGGAAUCAUUGGGCGUAAAGCGCGCGUAGGUGGCUUCGUAAGUCCGUUGUGAAAGUCAAAGGCUCAACCUUUGAAAGCCGAUGGAUACUGUGAAGCUAGAGUACGGAAGAGGCGAGUGGAAUUCCUGGUGUAGCGGUGGAAUGCGCAGAUAUCAGGAGGAACACCAAUAGCGAAGGCAGCUCGCUGGGACGUUACUGACACUGAGGAGCGAAAGCGUGGGGAGCGAACAGG